rnacentral:tRNA from 1 species
GGGGAUUUAGCUCAGUGGUACAGCACUUGCCUAGCAAGCACAAGGCCCUGGGUUCGGUCCCCAGCUCCG